CCUACGGGAGGCAGCAGUGGGGAAUAUUGCACAAUGGGGGAAACCCUGAUGCAGCGACGCCGCGUGAGUGAAGAAGGAUUUCGGUAUGUAAAGCUCUAUCAGCAGGGAAGAAAAUGACGGUACCUGAGGAAGAAGCCACGGCUAACUACGUGCCAGCAGCCGCGGUAAGACGUAGGGGGCAAGCGUGAUCCGGAUUUACGGGGUGUAAAGGGAGCGUAGACGGCAGCACCAGUCUGGAGUGAAAUGCCGGGGCUUAACCCCGGAACUGCUUUGGAAACUGUGCAGCUAGAGUGCAGGAGAGGUACGUGGCAUUCCUAGUGUAGCGGUGACAUGCGUAGAUAUUAGGAGGAACACCAGUUGCGAAGGCGGCUUACUGGACUGUACCUGCCGUUGCGGCUCG
rnacentral:rRNA from 1 species